UGGAUGCAUUAAUGUGGCUGCUGGUGGCUUCCCUGACCACCUCCUUGAGCUGUUGCUGCACGCAACCACUUGGGCAUGUUGCUGCCGAUGAACUCCCCAACCUGGUGCUGCCGGCACUGAAUAUGUUUUGAGAGAAGAAAGUCAGGGGAGGACAAUUGUAGUUUGCUUGCCAUAAGAACCUCCUAUUUUCCGAAACAGGAGUCUUGCCUAUGCUGCGUGAGCACUAUGCUCCUUGUAGCAACAGCAAGUCCCCGAGUAUGGCCAUGAUGGCCAGGUAGUACAACAUGGCAUCCUCAUCGGACUGUUGCCAACGGGGCUGCCCAUACUUUGAAUUUAAAUGACUCCACUCUAAGAGCAUGCUCUGUCACAAGCAGCACAAAACCAGAGAGCCCCGAGGAGAUGAAGGUGUAGUCCAUCGGCUGUCACAAACUCGGAGAGCAUAAUCCUAUGCCGCUGGCGCUGCAGUGGCUAGAUGUCGUACCGUGGUGGGCCAGUUGCACCAUUGGAUGGCUUCGGUUCAAAAUCUACAGGUUCAGAAGCCUGGAUGCAUAAGACGCUGUUGUCUCUUUUGAGUGCUUCUUCCCAUGUUCAUGUACUUGCAUUUUGACUGCCUCCUCCUUCACCUCUGCCCUUUGGCGGUGAGUUCACCGCGCUGCAACUGUGGCAGCGGUGGCCUUCUACGCCUCCAAG